UGCCGGUGAACGGAGAUGUGCUUUCGCUCGCCUCGGGGAGCGGACGGGGCAGCGCAGGCGGCAGCGGCCCGUCGCUGGAUAGAUUUGCACCCCAAUCCCACCGCCGGGGAAGUCGAGCAAACAGGACAGCCAUCGAGCGUCCGAUUCUGAGUGGGUCCCACCUGGGAUUAAACUCCGUUUAAAUCUGAGCCAGUUCUGAGACCUGGAGCCCACUGGUUGAAAGGCAGACUUGGUCCUUCAAGGAAGGAUCCCGUGAUGCCACCGCAAGCAUAUGAAAAAAAAUCCUCUAAUCCUUCCCCAAAGGGACCUAGAGCCGCUUAACAAAUAAUUUACUUUGGAAAAGGGACUAUCCAGGAGCAAAGACACAGGAAUAAGAACCCAGGGGUUGGGAUAUCUCUCACCAUCAUGCUCAGUGACCCGUUUGUAGGAUUUGCACAUUCUUUCUCUGCAACAUUGAACUCUGCUGGAUUUGGCCCCUGGUUCCCAGAUUCUAGAUUCAGUGUUUUGGCUAAAGCCCUGGGAUAAGCACUAACUGUGCUUAGUUGGCUAAAUGGAGCCUGGACUCGGCAGUCUGCACUGUGCGAAGAUUAUGCUUGUUUGCUGAUAGAAAUGAUCCAGAAGAGAAGGAGAUAUUGAUGAUGCAAGAGAGAAGAGCUUGAAUGGCAAUGACAACAGUGAGAGGGUCACCAGACUGGAGAUCUAUGGUUUUAGAACAUGGCCCCCAAUUCCUUGACAUUCCUCCUACUGAGAGUUGGGUCUAUGACCUCUCUCUUGAAUCUGGAGAGUCUUGGGACUACUUUGACCAAUAGGUAUGAAAGUCAUAUGGCAGAAAUGAUGCCAUAUGACUUUCAAAGCUAGGUCAGGAAAGGCCAUGCAGCUUCUGCUGGGCCCUCCUCGGAUACUCACUCUGGAGGAAGCCAGCCAUCUUGUAAAAAGUCCAGUUACCCUGAGACUAUACCAUGCCAGAGAGGCCAGGUGUAGGUGCUGGUUGACAGCCCCAGCUAAGCUCUCAGUCAACAGUCAAUAUCAACUGCCAGCCUUGUGAGUGAGCCAUCUUGGAUAUCCAGGCCAGAUGAUCUCUGACUGUAACCACACAAUACCAAAAGCCCCAGACAAGGACUUUCAAAUCCCAAAAUUAUGACUGCAAAACUGUAAGCAGAAUAAAAUUUUUUUAAUCCACUAAA